CCGGCCCCCGCCCCGGCCCCCGCCCCGGCCCGCCCGACCCCUGCCCGCAGCGGGCCGCGGUCCCAACCCCAUGCGUCCCACUGGUCUGGAAUAAUGUUUGGAGGAGCCUGGCAGUCUGGUCCCUUUCRUAGCUCCCAAGGAUUUUUAGGAUCAUGGGAUGCAUGGACAUAAGGACCCACAAAACCUUCUGAAGAAUGCCAGCUGUGGAUAACACAUCUGGAAGUUCCUACCAUCUUCCUACCCUGUUUUUUCCKGGGUCAUCUCUGUGUCAUUUGUGGCCCUGAGGAUUACAGCAUACAGUCAUUUACUGGAAUACCUCCCUAUGCAUCUUCUUAUGAUGGAGCGUUGCUUUACCCAGCUGGAAGAUAUUCUGUCUUCUCCCAGAGCUUUCCCAGUGCAGCAGCAUUCCUGUCCAACAGGUCUUGGUUGACUGCAAAAAGGAGAAAGGAGGAGUGUGUCAAAGGGAGGUCAGAUCCUGCCAGGGUUUCCUGGGAAAUGAGGUGUAUCCGCUGUUUGGAUGAUGAAGCUUGAUGAGCUGUGAUUUGGUUUGGAUUACAGUAUUUCAGAAGACUUUCUGAACUUGCCAGACAACUCUUCCCCUAGACUUUGGGGACAGUGGAGCUUAASUUUAUAUCUCCAGUGUCACACAAGGAGAAAGAGCAGAGUUGGCUGCUUUGCACAAGUAAUGAAAAUCAAUGCUGUGUUGCUCUUGGGAGGAAUGCUCAAAAGGAGAAAAGCCUGGCGUAUAGAUCUCCCUUUAGAGACAGAUUUUGCCUGGGAGGAGCAUGCCCAAGGGAAGACACAGGAAGAAGAGGUGAUGCUACAAGCCAUUUCCUGGCCUCCAGAGUGGGACUGAAGCUUCUUAACAAGAUUUUCUAACUAUGGAAGCUCUCCUGAGGAGCUGCAUUACGCGCAGCUGCCCCUGGCAUGGGAUGCAGAGCAAGGAGUGAAGGACAGCUGCAAUGUGCCCCUGCAGGACAGAUGAUAUUUCCUGUUUGAGAUGCUUUGUAUGCAAAUCAAGGUGGUACAAGAUGAAAAAACGUCCUGAAAGCAAUCACACCRAUAAACUCAGACCACUGGGGAAUUCCUGCUUAUCAUUUAUCCUUUCUUUUUUUAGUUUUGUACAACGCACUUCUCUGCAUUCUCUUUCUUACAGUCUUUAAUGUUUGUCCUGCCAGACCUCUUGCUUAUGAACUACAGUGCUUGCAUUUCGCAGGGCUUGAUGUCAGUCUGCACAAACAAAAAGCAGUAAAUGCUGAAAAUUGGGGUUAACAGUCCCUGUGUUUCAGCUUGAUCUUGCAUUGAUCUGGUGCUUUCUGAAGUUCAAGCUGACAUGGGCCUCACACUACAGAUUGCCAUGUGCCUGUAGUGAUGAUGUACCUGGAAAGAUGAUCCCAGAAACCUCAGGAAAAAAGAAAAGGAGCGAUAAAAAGCAAAAAGACGCAGCAAAAGGUUUCUCUAGUAACUUAAACAGGAGCAGGAUUUGACCUGAGGCACCCCAAGAGAUGGUGUGGGCAGCCCUUGUACUAACCYGGUAACAUGAGUUGAUCACCUCAUUGCUCCAGCAAAGCAAACUCACAUGGAAUCACAGACUGGUUUAGGUGAAAAGACACCUUAAAGAUCAUCAUGCUGAACCCCCUUGCCAUGGGCAGGGACACCUUGUAUUAGACCAGGUUGCUCAGGGCCCCUUCCAGCCYGGCCUUGRACACUUCCAGGGAUGGGGCAUCCACAACUUCCCUGARYAUCUGCUCAGCUCMUGCCCUAUAGAUGUCCCUAUAAGUGGAUGGGGCUGAUCAAAGCCUUGCUCUCACCAGGCUACUGCCCUGCUGCCAGCUGCAACAUUGCACUGAUGUUUUUUACAGCAAGUUGUGAGGGUGAGAAAAAGACUCAGGAGCAGAAAAGGAGACAUGUCAGAGAGUGCAGAACUACACUGCCAAAGAGCAUUCCCAUGCGUGUCCAGAGAUACCCAGUGCUGCCCAUCUUGUCAAAUCAUGCUGUGGUUGCUCUGGCCUUUGUGUGGGGAGCAGUGAUAAUCAUUGUGUGUCRUGUUGGGUUUUAUUAUUUGCUUUUUUUCCUCAAAUGUUAAAUUAACAAUCAAACUGGCGUUGGUGAGGCAGCAAGCCUGGUGCAGCUUUUAUCUGUCCUGAACCUUGGGACAAAGGAGGGGAGGAAAAUGGCUUGGCUGGYUGGGCGGCCGUGCACGUAACGGUCCCGGAGUUCAAAGCAAAGGGCACAACAGUCAGAUACCCAAACCCGCCUGGGCUUGGGCUGAUAAGUCACAUUUCAAAGUAAAAGGCAAUCCUGAAGGGGCUCUGCUGAGUGCCUAAAGCCUCCGGUGCUGAGUCUUCUUCAAAAGGGGAUUUCAUAAGGAGUAAUAUGAACAGAAAUGGCUCUUUUGUGGUUUUACACAUUCCAGGCAUGCCAGGACUGUUCCUGUCAAGGAUGGGCAGUCUCUGGGGUUUUGGGUUCUUUCCCUUUUUUUUUUUUUUCCCCAAAUAUUUGCCACAAACUAGCAGCUGAAAUGGUGAAAAAUAAAUGAGAGUUGCAAAAUCAUUACAGUAGCAGUAAUGGAAACUGUGAGGCUUAAACUGGCUGUGAGCUUUCACUCCAUCUUCUGCGCUGCUGCACUGUGAGGAUUGCUGCUUUUACCUGCUAUUUGAUAGCAGGAUGAUUUGGAAGCAGAGCUUUAACUGUUGGUUACCCAGGAUCUCAAAAACAGUGCUUUUGGUUUUUUCAGAAGCAAURCCUUUUCAGCUGAACCACUGUUAAGUACAAAUUCCUUCAGUGUCAGUGCAGUGAUGUGACUGUGCAGCAUCUUCACAUGAUUAUUUCUGCAGUCCUGUGUGUACAGAAAUGGGGCCCAGCUGUUCCUGCUUCAGAUGCUCUUUUUUUUUUCACCCAGAUUGUGCCAGUUUGGUUUGCACCCGUACACUUCA